UACGGAGGAUCCAAGCGUUAUCCGGAAUAACUGGGCGUAAAGAGUUGCGUAGGCGGCAUAUUAAGCGAAGUGUGAAAUCAUACGGCUCAACUGUAUGGCUAUGCUUUGAACUAAUAAGCUAGAGAACGAGAGAGGUAACUGGAAUUCCAAGUGUAGGAGUGAAAUCCGUAGAUAUUUGGAGGAACACCGAUGGCGUAGGCAGGUUACUGGCUCGUUUCUGACGCUCAGGCACGAAAGCGUGGGGAGCAAACGGG
rnacentral:rRNA from 1 species